rnacentral:rRNA from 1 species
UACAGAGGUCUCAAGCGUUGUUCGGAUUCAUUAGGCGUAAAGGGUGCGUAGGUGGCGGGGUAAGUCAGGUGUGAAAUCUCGGAGCUCAACUCCGAAACUGCACUUGAUACUGCCUUGCUCGAGUACUGGAGAGGAGAUUGGAAUUUACGGUGUAGCAGUGAAAUGCGUAGAUAUCGUAAGGAAGACCAGUGGCGAAGGCGAAUCUCUGGACAGUUACUGACACUGAGGCACGAAGGCCAGGGGAGCAAACGGG